AAAAAUGAAUGCUAGUGUUAGGGGUUUCGAUACCCUUGGUGCCGAAGUUAACACAUUAAGCAUUCCGCCUGGGGAGUACGGUCGCAAGACUGAAACUCAAAGGAAUUGACGGGGACCCGCACAAGCAGUGGAGUAUGUGGUUUAAUUCGAAGCAACGCGAAGAACCUUACCAGGUCUUGACAUCCCCCUGACCGGUACAGAGAUGUACCUUUCCUUCGGGACAGGGGAGACAGGUGGUGCAUGGUUGUCGUCAGCUCGUGUCGUGAGAUGUUGGGUUAAGUCCCGCAACGAGCGCAACCCUUGACUUUAGUUGCCAGCAAGUCAGUUGGGCCCCUCAAAAGGGACGGCGGGGAACAACCGGAAGAAGGGGGGGAAGAACUUCAAUCCUCCAGGCCCUUAAGAACCGGGGCAACCCCCGAACAACAAGGGUGGGAACACGGGAAACCAAAGGACCAAUCCGAACCAAACCCAAAAAACCCGUUCUCAUUUCGAAUGGCAGGUGGCACCUCCCCGGCUGAAAUUCGAAUUGGCUAUAAUCCCGGAACCACCAGGCCGGGGGAAAUACUUCCCGGGGUCUUGUACACCCCGCCGUCACACCACGAGAGUUUACAACACCCGAAGUCGGUGAGGUAACCGCAAGGAGC
rnacentral:rRNA from 1 species